CAAAGGAAUUGACGGGGCCCGCACAAGCGGUGGAUUAUGUGGAUUAAUUCGAUGCAACGCGAAAACCUUACCUACCCUUGACAUGCUAGGAACUUGCCAGAGAUGGCUUGGUGCCCGAAAGGGAACCUAGACACAGGUGCUGCAUGGCUGUCGUCAGCUCGUGUCGUGAGAUGUUGGGUUAAGUCCCGCAACGAGCGCAACCCUUGUCACUAAUUGCCAUCAUUCAGUUGGGCACUUUAAUGAGACUGCCGGUGACAAACCGGAGGAAGGUGGGGAUGACGUCAAGUCCUCAUGGCCCUUAUGGGUAGGGCUUCACACGUAAUACAAUGGUCGGUACAGAGGGUUGCCAACCCGCGAGGGGGAGCCAAUCCCAGAAAACCGAUCGUAGUCCGGAUUGCAGUCUGCAACUCGACUGCAUGAAGUCGGAAUCGCUAGUAAUCGCGGAUCAGCAUGUCGCGGUGAAUACGUUCCCGGGCCUU
rnacentral:rRNA from 1 species